AGCCAACUUAGAAACGAGCAGGGAUUAUAAGGUUAAAAUGUAAACCAAGAAAAUCAUACAUCAAAACACAGAGACAGAGAAAUGCAGGGAAGUUGUGGUAAUAAAUAGAAACAUAUUUUACGCCGUGGUCUCGAUUUGUGGAUAUUUUUGCGGAAUUUAAAUAAAAUCCUUCGCAUGUUAACUGGAAGGUUAUCUGAACAAUGGAACUCUCCUAGUAUUUGGAAGGGGUCUUAGGUGUCAAAUGAUAAGGUAAAGCUGUAGUAGAGAUAAGAAGGUCAGACAGUGAAUCCCUAAGUGAUUUUAUCUAGGGGAUCA